UUCUCGGAGGCGUCGCUUCCGGGUGACGAAGGCGCGGCGCGCACCCAACUUUCCCUGUGCUGCCUCUCUAGCCUCCGGAGGCGGGCUCCUUUCUGUGGUCUUCACCCAUUUCCUCCGUGGCCUCGCCGUGUUUCCAGCCCUGAGGAAAGGAGACCGCACGCCCGCGACCGGCCGGCAAGACCUGCUCUGGAGAGCGAACGCGCGUGAGAUGAGAGGUGUAGAUGUCACUCAGACGACUGUCAGCAGUAUCUGCCAUGUGAGCCCACUGAUCAGUGACCUUGGUGAGCAGUAGGAUAGAGGCUAUCCGUGGAAACACCAAAAUUACAGAACACCUGCAUGCAAAAGACUGGACAAACACUGGCUAAUGCACUUGUUGUAUGGCUGGGACUCAGACUCCUUUUCUCCGGCAUUGUAGAAGGUAGGUGAACACUUUUCAACAUCCUUUACCUUGCACGGGUCUCAGUCAUUUACCCAUGGGAAUUUGCUAUCUCUGGAAAAGCAUCAUACUAGUAUUUGUUAUCAUUAAAGGAAUCUUGUUCCUUAGAACUGAAGUUAUCUUCAUAUGAAUGUUUCAUAUCACUUGGGAAAGUUGGCAAAAAUACCACGUACUGUUGCUGCUUUGAUUGUUUUGGUUUGAGGAGGCUUUUUUUCAGUGCUGCGUAUCACACUCAGGUCCAUGCCCAUGGCUGGCAAAUGCUCUACCACUGAGCUGCAGUCCCAGCCCAGGUGUCAUUAUUUCAGUUGUUAAAAUCAAUACAACUCCCUUCAUAACAUUGAUCACCCCAACAUGCUGUGCAUU
rnacentral:lncRNA from 1 species